rnacentral:ncRNA from 1 species
CCUUCGGACUGUUGUAUCAAACGAAAGUAGCUUCGGUGAAAUCGGACAGGAUGAACAAGGAA